rnacentral:rRNA from 1 species
GACGAACGCUGGCGGCGUGCUUAACACAUGCAAGUCGAACGAAGUGGCGAACGGGUGAGUAAUACGUGAGUAACCUGCCCUCCUUUUGGGGGUAAGCCUUGGAAACGGGGUCUAAUACCGAAUUAAGUGGGAUGGGCUCGCGGCCUAUCAGCUGGUUGGUGGGGUGAUGGGCUACCAGGGCGGUGACGGGUAGCCGGCCUUAGAGGGUGACCGGCGACAUUGGGACUGAGAUACGGCCCAGAGUAGUACGGGAGGAGGCAGUGGUGGAUAUUGCACAAUGGGCGAAAGCAGGAUUCAGGGACGCCGCGUGAGGGAUGAAGGCUUGCGGGUUGUAAACCUCUUUCGAUAAAGAACGGGUAGGUGGAGAAGAAGCGCCGGCUAACUACGUGCCAGCAGCCGCGGUAAUUC